rnacentral:rRNA from 1 species
AUACGGAGGGUGCAAGCGUUACACGGAAUCACUGGGCGUAAAGCGCGCGCAGGCGGUCUUUUAAGUUGGAUGUGAAAGCCUACGGCUCAACCGUAGAACUGCAUCCAAAACUAUUAGACUAGAGUGUGGGAGAGGAAGAUGGAAUUAGUUGUGUAGGGGUAAAAUCCGUAGAGAUAACUAGGAAUACCAAAAGCGAAGGCAAUCUUCUGGAACACUACUGACGCUGAGGCGCGAAAGCGUGGGGAGCAAACAGGAUUAGAAACCCUAGUAGUCC